UAUUCUGCCCCACGGGGAAGGAUGAGAAGCUUCGACUAAGGUUCGACUCGAGCGAAGCGAGAGAACGUUGCCGCAGGCAACGGCC
rnacentral:sRNA from 1 species